rnacentral:tRNA from 2 species
GCGGGCGUGAUCUAGCGGUUAGGAUCCGAGCCUUCCAAGCUCGUGGCCCGGGUUCGAAUCCCGGCGCCCGCA